GACGAACGCUGGCGGCAUGCUUUACACAUGCAAGUCGAACGGCAGCACGAGUGCUUGCACUUGGUGGCGAGUGGCGAACGGGUGAGUAAUACAUCGGAACGUGUCCUAAAGUGGGGGAUAACGCAUCGAAAGAUGUGCUAAUACCGCAUAAUCUCUAAGGAGAAAGUAGGGGAUCGAAAGACCUUAUGCUUUUGGAGCGGCCGAUGUCUGAUUAGCUAGUUGGUGGGGUAAUGGCCUACCAAGGCGACGAUCAGUAGCUGGUCUGAGAGGAUGGCCAGCCACACUGGGACUGAGACACGGCCCAGACUCCUACGGGAGGCAGCAGUGGGGAAUUUUGGACAAUGGGCGCAAGCCUGAUCCAGCAAUGCCGCGUGAGUGAAGAAGG
rnacentral:rRNA from 1 species